CUUCUCUCAGCUCCGCUGGAUCACACAGGCCCAGUGUGUGCUUGGCGUAUUUUACGGGAGAGAGAGGAAGGCCCUCCUAAUGCACGACAGACCUGCCCCAAAGUGGCCUCUCUGUUCCUAGGAGUGCAACACAG
ensembl:snoRNA